rnacentral:rRNA from 1 species
CCUACGGGAGGCAGCAGUGAGGAAUAUUGGUCAAUGGACGAGAGUCUGAACCAGCCAAGUAGCGUGAAGGAUGACUGCCCUAUGGGUUGUAAACUUCUUUUAUAUGGGAAUAAAACGUUCCACGUGUGGGCUUUUGUAUGUACCAUAUGAAUAAGGAUCGGCUAACUCCGUGCCAGCAGCCGCGGUAAGACGGAGGAUCCGAGCGUUAUCCGGAUUUAUUGGGUUUAAAGGGAGCGUAGGUGGAUUGUUAAGUCAGUUGUGAAAGUUUGCGGCUCAACCGUAAAAUUGCAGUUGAAACUGGCAGUCUUGAGUACAGUAGAGGUGGGCGGAAUUCGUGGUGUAGCGGUGAAAUGCUGAGAUAUCACGAAGAACUGCGAUUGCGAAGGCAGCUCACUGGACUGCAACUGACACUGAGGCUCGAGAGUGUGGGUAUCAAACAGGAUUAGAGACCCCUGUAGUC